ACCCCUAAACAUCAUACUCAUUCCACUCAACGCCCAACGCAAAACAAAUUCAUUUUCCAAGAUCCUGCAAAAGCUGAGAAAGACAAACAGGAUACCUGAGGCAUCAUUUGCCCUCCAUUUACUGUCAAGGCUUUACCGAUUGCAACAAACUCAUCACAGAUAUAAUCAAUGAAGAAUCAAAAAAGAUAUUCGCCACAUAACACAACUGCAGAACUUUUUUAUCAGAUGGUUCGAUAAAUUGAUAGAUUAGUUUUAAAUUUUAUGAAUAUUAUUAAGUAUUAUGGAUUUAUUUUAAAUUUUAUGAAUAUUGUUAACUAUUAUGGAUUUAUUUU
rnacentral:lncRNA from 1 species